CUGUCUGUCUGGCGAGUGCAUGCGCCCUAUAGCAAAAGCCUCUCCAAAAAAAGAAAAGAAAAAAAAAGUGACCCACUUGAUGGAGUAGAUCUGUCACAUUACUAAGAAUACAAUAUUUUCUUCAGUGAAAUUUAUAAACAUGCUUCUUGAAUAAUACACAUUUUAGGAAAGGGAAAAAAAAUUCAUUUGAAAAGUUAGUCUCUUUUAUAGCUUUUCCAAACUUACUUGCUACAUUUGUCUUUGAGGUCCUCCUGAAUUAGACCUUACAAAAUAAAAGCAAAAUUUUUAAACAGAAAUUUUGGAACACAGUCUACUAUCUAACACAAUUUUUUUUUAAUGAUCAGGAUCUUUGUUAAAGAAGUUUUCUUAUUAAAAAAUUUCAACACAUUUAUAAAUAGUCCAAUAGUCCAUGGUCCUCCAUGUUUUAUUUUGAUUAAAUGGAUACCAAACCUUCAAUGAUUUGCAAUGAAAGAAUCCCAGCUUUUAUGUUAUAUUUAAUCAAGUGCAUUAUGAUAAAAUUUAUCUUUAUUGUCACCUGUUCACUAGCUGACUUUUUAAUUUCUCACUUUAUUAUCAGGAUAUAUCAAAUAUGUUACCAAAAUAUAUGAAAUUCCAUACAUAUUUGGAAUUUAAUAUCUGUUCAAAGUUGCAUAAAGAAUUUGAGUAUUAUAAUUUAUAUAAUUUUACCAAAGCAUAAUGGACCUUAGAUUAUAGAAUACACCACUGUUAGGUCUGUAGUAAGGUUUUUAACUUUGUUUUGCAUUGUCAAAAAUAGUGAAUUGUUAAAUGUGUGAUGAAGUGAGACAAUCGUGUAGAUUAUUUUAUUUUUUGGUUGUAUUCAAGGACUUGCCAGUUUAACCAGUAUUACUUCCAAAAGUAUAACAAGCAACAGCCAUGUGUUCCUUGUAAGAGUUUUUGUUUCUUUCCUUUUAUUAUGAGUUUUCAAUUAUGAUUUUAAAAAGGGAUUUUGAAAGGGAACUUUGACAUUUCUACAAUUCAGUGCUCUUGGAUGGUUUUUUACUUCCCCGGCUAUCAGUAAUCUAGAGAAAAUUUUAGUUCUUGUAGAAUUUGCAUCAGUUUCUUCAGUCAACUCAUCAUCUUUUACAUAGGAAUAACACUUUCAGACCCUGUUUCUUCAUAGUGGAAUAACAAAUAUCCACUAAAUCAUCUCUGUCAAGUAGACUGUAGUCAUUUAUGGUAAUAAGUGACUAUGUCCUAACUACCUUGCUUGGUGAGGAGUUGGUCAUUGUCUGUGGCAUCUGCAACCUGUUCAAAUAUUUGACCUGCUGAAGAAACACAGCUCAUGCUGCCUUGCUACUGGGGAAAAUGAAGCUUUAUGAAAUGUAAUAUGGCAACCUGUCCUUUAUUUUAUGUUGUUCAACUAUUACUAUUCCUGUUAUUGGUCUACUAUUACAGGGUGAUUUCCUCCAAUGACCUUGUCUAAAUGUGAAUUGGGGUCAUGCAUGAAAUCUGAAGAACUACCAUGUACUAAUAAGCAUGAUUAACAACUAUGUGCAGCCACCCCAUACAUGCCGUCUUUAUCCCCAUGGGAUUUUAAGUGUUCAGGUAACAGACAUAGUUCUGUGUGAGGUUCUAUGCCUACUUCCUCAACACCCAUUCAAAGGCAACAACUUUUCAACUACCCCACCAAAGGUGCUUGCAUACCUACCUACACUGUUUGAGUAAGGACAUUUCGAGUUGCCCGUGGGUUGUGAAGGAAUUGGCUCUACUUGCUCAAAAUCAGCAAUGCCAACUGUUGCUGGUAGAAUUAGUUCGUGUGUUAUCAGAUAGAGAAGUAUAAUACUAGCCAAGCUCUGGCUGACUUCUGAAUAGGAAAAUAAGAAACUUACCCAGCAUAGGCCUUUAGGCAGCAACCUUACUAGUAAAUCUUACCAUAGAGUCACUUAAGGUAGACAAAGAAGGAAGUUUGAUUUAAAUAUUCUCAGCCCUUGGUUUGUGAUUAAGAGUAAGCUCCUUGAAGUGUGAUUAAUCCAGUUUUAAGUCAUUAUAUUGUAAUGGAAAAAAACAGUGGACUAGGAGGCAGGAGAUUUGGAUUCCAGCCCCAAAGGCUACUACUAGGUAAGUACUUGGCCAUGGGCAAAUCUUGUAACUUCUCUGAGCUUUUCAUUUAUAAUGUUGGGAGGGGGAUUAAUUAGUUGAUCUGUAAAAUACUUGUUCUAAAAUUUUAUGAAAAUUUUAAAUCUGUAAAAUAUGUGCCCAAACAAACACUGCUAAACAAACAUUGUGCCCAGAAUUUAUUUCUAGUGACUACCUCAAUAUACAGGCCAAGUGUUGCCUACACCAACACCCAAGCCAUUAAUUUGAGGUGCCAUGAAAAGAGAAAGUGAACUGCAGGGUAACACCAUGUAGGUUUUUCAUUUCUUUCUUUAUUUUUUAUUUUUUAGAUUUGCCUUGGCUUAAAUUUGUUUAGGUUAAAAAGUUGUUUGAUGGUGUGUGUGUGUGUGUGUGUGUGUGUGUGUGCGCGCGCACGUGUGUGUGUGUUUUAGACUUCUUUCUGAGGAAGGAUUAUUUUGGGGAGUGUUGGAGAAAGAUUAGGGUAGGUUACUCCUAGCUUCCAUAGUGUACAAAAGAAUGGGAUAUAUUUUCCCAUUCUUCCUCACUCUGAAGUUGUGGUUGGACAUAAAUACAAUGUACCAGCUAUAAGAGAAGACCUGAAUUUCAAGCCUCUGAUUUAGCUGUUGUAAACUGCCGAUUUUUGCAUGACAAAAGAAUGUCUAUCUUUUUGAGAAAUCUGAUCUCAUAUGAGAAAGUGCUUUUUACAUUCCAGAUUGUUUGAAUUAAACUGUUUGAAUUAAAGACCAUA